CAAUAGCAUAUAUUAACGUUGUUGCAGUUGAAAAGCUCGUAGUUGAACUUUUGGUAGGAGCGAACUGGCCUUGGGCGCAUGCCCUUGUUUGCCGUGUGUCGUGUCUGGCCAUCCUUUUCCGCUUCGGCGGGAAUCUUUUACUGUGAGUAAACUGGAGUGCUCAAAACAAGACGUUUGUUUGGUACAUUAAAGCAUGGAAUAAUAAGAUAGGACCUGGUUACUAUUUUGUUGGUUUGCAUAGCUAGGUAAUGAUUAACAGGGACAGUUGGGGGUAUUCGUAUUUAAUUGUCGGAGGUGAAAUUCUUGGAUUUAUGAAAGACGAACGACUGCGAAAGCAUUUACCAAGGAUGUUUUCAUUAA
rnacentral:rRNA from 1 species